GACGUAGGGGGCGAGCGUUGUCCGGAUUCAUUGGGCGUAAAGCGCGCGUAGGCGGCCUGGUAAGUCGGAUGUGAAAUCUCACGGCUCAACCGUGGAACUGCAUUCGAAACUGUCGGGCUAGAGGCAGGUAGGGGAGAUCGGAAUUCCCGGUGUAGCGGUGAAAUGCGCAGAUAUCGGGAGGAACACCGGUGGCGAAGGCGGAUCUCUGGGCCUGUCCUGACGCUCAGGCGCGAAAGCUAGGGGAGCGAACAGG
rnacentral:rRNA from 1 species